rnacentral:rRNA from 1 species
UAAGUAUCCUAAAGGGUUGUUGGAGACUACGACGUAGAUAGGCAGGGUGUGUAAGCGCUGUGAGGCGUUGAGCUAACCUGUACUAAUUGCCCGUGAGGCUUAACCAUACAACACCCAAGGGGUUU